UACGUAGGGUGCAAGCGUUGUCCGGAAUUAUUGGGCGUAAAGAGCUCGUAGGCGGUUUGUCGCGUCGAAUGUGAAAACCCGGGGCUCAACCCCGGGCCUGCAUUCGAUACGGGCAGACUAGAGUUCGGUAGGGGAGACUGGAAUUCCUGGUGUAGCGGUGAAAUGCGCAGAUAUCAGGAGGAACACCGGUGGCGAAGGCGGGUCUCUGGGCCGUAACUGACGCUGAGGAGCGAAAGCGUGGGGAGCGAACAGG
rnacentral:rRNA from 1 species